UACAGAGGUCCCAAGCGUUGUUCGGAUUCACUGGGCGUAAAGGGUGCGUAGGUGGUGAGGUAAGUCGGAUGUGAAAGCUCGGAGCUCAACUCCGAAAUGGCAUUGGAAACUACCUUGCUCGAGGGUUGGAGGGGGGACUGGAAUGCUUGGUGUAGCAGUGAAAUGCGUAGAUAUCAAGCGGAACACCAGUGGCGAAGGCGGGUCUCUGGGCCGCAACUGACGCUGAGGAGCGAAAGCGUGGGGAGCGAACAGG
rnacentral:rRNA from 1 species